rnacentral:rRNA from 1 species
AUACGGAGGGUGCGAGCGUUAUUCGGAAUCACUGGGCGUAAAGGGUGCGUAGGCGGUUUGAUAAGUCUGAUGUGAAAUCCUAUGGCUCAACCAUAGAACUGCAUUGGAAACUGUCAGACUAGAAUACUGAAGGGGCAGAUGGAAUUAGAGGUGUAGGGGUAAAAUCCGUAGAUAUCACUAGGAAUACCGAAAGCGAAAGCGAUCUGCUGGGAAGUUAUUGACGCUGAGGCACGAAAGCGUGGGGAGCAAACGGGAUUAGAAACCCUAGUAGUCC